UUUUCUCAUCUUCUCUCUUUCCUUUGUUUUUACGGAGCUUAGAAACAGAGUAUGUCUAAGGAGCUGUUGUUUUCACCGGACAUGACACAAAGGUUUCAUCGACAGAUCUGAAGAAUUAGUGUCAACGACAACGUCGGAAGUGGUGGAUCUGAAGACCCUUGUGUCAACGACGACGUUGGCGGUGGUAGAUCUGAAGACCCUUGUGUCAACGAUGACGUCGGAGAUGGUGGUGGAAGUGGAGAACCACCGCAGAUGCACACACUUUUUACGGUCGCCGCUACAUUUUGAAGCUUCCGCCUGUUCACCACCAAUACAUCUCGAUUUCUCUACCGUCACAUCUCUAACCCUCCGGCCGCCGCCACUGUUUUGUUCUCCGUCGCCGCAGUAAUACAUCUCCGUCGCUAUAUAUAUUGAUUAUAUAAAAUGAAUUUACGAAACAAAUAAAAGCUAUAUUUAAUUUAUUUUUCUUGUAUAAUAAAUUAAUUUUUUUUUCUUUUUUCUUUUUCUGUGGUUCGUCGCAAAAAGGUCUGUAAUAUAUGACUUUAGUUACAAUCACAAUUCAGUCUCAAAUAUACGACUAUGAGUUAGUCACAAAACGUCGCUACAAAUAUAUGUCCCUAAUUAGUCUCUAAGAUAUGACUACGUAUUACAGUCCUAAUGUAGUAGCAAAUUUAAGACCAUAAAAUGAGGUCACAGAGUUGU